AGAGUCGGCCAUUCCGUCGCCCGUCAAGAGGCAAAAGCCAAAAGUGACGGGAGGAAAGUCCGGGCAACGAGAGCAGCAUGUUUCCUAACGGGAAGCGGUUGGCGACAGCCGGGCAAUGUGACAGAAAACUACCGCCUGACAGAAUUUUCUGUCGGGUAAGGGUGAAAAGGCGGGGUAAGAGCCCACCGGAUGCCAUAGCGAUAUGGCAUGCCGCACACCCCAUGCGUUGCAAGGUCAAAUAUACCGGCAGGAUAUGAGUGAAUGCAUUUAUGUUGCUAUUGCCAAUAAAAAUGCUUUACACGCGAUAUCAGAAGAGCUGCUCGCUCUUGCCGGGGGGUAGACUGCUAUAGACACGUGGCGACACGCGUCAGAGAUAAAUGACGGAACAGAUCCGCAUCAAACCGGAUCUCGACAUAACCCGGCUUAUCGGCCGGCUCUCCAU
rnacentral:RNase_P_RNA from 1 species